AUCGAAAAGUGCAAAUCAUCUAAAAAAGUUAUCACAGCGAGAAAACGUGUGUGCGAAAUUGCUUAUAUUAAUACUUCCUUUCUGAGUAUCAGGUGUUGUAAUUAUCAGCAUAAUAUUAUCAGGUUAUAAAAACAGAAGUUGCUAUAGCGACUAAUAUCAUAACCUGACCGGAGCUGCUCAGAAACCACCAAUUAAAAAGAAUCCUAUAAACCGGCAAUUGGUGCUCAGUCGGCAAACGGAACACUAAGGCUAACUUACCUUAUUGAUCAAGCCGAACAUAUGAGAUCUUCGUUAAGUGCGGACAACAUACUAAACGGAUUUAAAAUACAGCAUCAUAAUUGUAAACUGCGUAUUCGUGAUCCGGAAAUAUUGUUGACAAAGAACAGGCAGUCUUCAGAAAGCUGCUCCAGGGUCACGUCGUUCCGGUCCUCGAUUUUUGCCAACAGUCUAGUACGCACCUCUGCAUCACACUCCGCUUUCAUGCCGCAAACAAAUAAUAAACAUUUGAACUGCUCCUCCGUCAAUUUACUCAGCUCAAAAUCGACCGCGUUCUUGGUUGUCUGCAGGCAACGAUAUCGCUUGCUGAUGAGCGAUUCAGCAGCACCAAACAGGAUCCCCAAUUUCCGAACUGUUUCAUCGAAUUGGUAAUCCUUCGGUAGCUUCGGAAGAAUUAAGUUGACGUACCGUUCAUGUUCGGCGGAACCCAUCUUCCGGAGAAGCAAACGCACUUUUGCUUCGCUGUCGAGCCGGGAAGCGUCUUGCUCGAACAGGUCCUUGUACCGCGCGUACCAAGCCACGAACGUAAUGUUGUUGUCCCGUACCGGAACUCCUUAAUGUGAUGCGACAGUGAAUCUAAAAUCACUUCUGGGUGUGAUGGAAUUUGCACACUAAUUGAUGACAGCGUACGGAGGAACAUUUCCUGCUGCUGCCGCAUGAAUUCCUGCUGCUAUUGCAGCAUUUGUGUCGCAAAUGCUUGCUGCUGUUGGAGGAACUGGGAGAGAAGUGCGUCGGUAGUUGGUGAAAACUGGUGCGAUGAUUGCUGCUGCUGCUGCUGUUGCUGCUGCUGCCCGGGGAACUGAAGAGUAAGUCCCGUCGGUGGCUGUUGACCGAAGCGUGUGUGGGAGAAAAUCGGGAAGCCUUCCACCACCCCUGCACUACGUAAUGCAUCUACGGCUUCUGGUGCCCCCCUCCAGCUCCUUUUCAAAUUCCAGUGUGACGUCAACGUCAAUGGCCAGCAGCGCCGUGGGACAUUUCACGUGGUCGACAAAUCGUUUAACGUGUUCGGACUCGAUUUGCUUGACGCUUUUGGGCCUUGGUCUGUGCCGAUUUCUACUUUUUGCAACCAGAGUGUCAAACCAUCCAUAUCGUCGGAGUCAUUUGAGGCAGCACCACGUUCCAAACAUUCAGCAUCCAGCACUUCACCACAGCACAAUCGCACAGCAAGGCUGAACCAUUUCGGGAAAAUCGAGAGGGGAGAAGUUCGGUUCCAAUAAGUGAGGAUCUGAGCACAUUUUGCGUAGCUCCAACAACACCGAAAAAUCUUGGACAGUCUCCAGAUACUUCACCGAUAUCCCGUCUCUCUCAACGUCUCCUUCUCCAUCAUCAACAAGCUCUGCUGACCCAGUAGAGGUCAACGAACAGCUGUGUAGGUGCCUCGUCGUUCUUCGCGAACCAGAAGACCGCCGAUCCGGUUCAACCCGCACCGGCUGUAUUAAGGGAGGAGAUGUUAGGGCGUGAAACACCCUACAAACAAUACCGCUGGGCUCACUGCUGACAGCCUCUCUGUCAGCCGAUCGACGCGCCAACCGGCGGGUAGAAAACAACAACAACAACCAAUCACUUUAUGUUUUGUAUUGUAAACGUUUA